CUGUAGAGUAAUGGAUAGCGCGUUGAACUUCUUAUCCAAAAGUUGUGGGUUCGAAUCCCGCCUGAAAUGA
rnacentral:tRNA from 1 species